UACGGAGGGAGCUAGCGUUAUUCGGAAUUACUGGGCGUAAAGGGCGCGUAGGCGGUGUGUCAAGUCAGGCGUGAAAGCCCCGGGCUCAACCUGGGAACCGCGCUUGAGACUGGCACGCUAGAGUUCGGGAGAGGAUGGUGGAAUUCCCAGUGUAGAGGUGAAAUUCGUAGAUAUUGGGAAGAACACCGAUGGCGAAGGCAGCCAUCUGGACCGACACUGACGCUGAGGCGCGAAAGCGUGGGGAGCAAACAGG
rnacentral:rRNA from 1 species